ACAUAGGUGAAGAGUGCAUGCGGGAGGUGCCGAGGAGGCGAGAGUGCCUGAGUGAACUGAUCAAAGAAAACGUUACCGUGACGUCAGGACCCUGGUGCGCAUGCGCGCCGCGGUACAUGGUCACGUGACCCUACAGCUUUUGUGAGCGCAUUUUCCUAGCACUUGUAUAUACAAAGUGUACAUAAAUUAGCUUCUUAAGAUGAGCUCCGGGGGCAGAGGCAGCCGGGGCAACAAAGGUCCGCGGGCGGGCGGCGGUGACCGCAACAACACCGCCACACCACAGGUACAGCAACCUCAGCCUGUACAGCAACAGAAGAUGGACAGCCAGGCUACAGACAAAGACAAAGGCGGCGAGGCAAUACCGCACAAGAUAGCACCCACAGCAGAGCAACUUCGCAUUGCCCAGAUGAUUGACAACACACGAACAGAACCAGAGAAGUUGCUUCAGGAAAAAAUUAAUCAGGUUAUGCAGUUCACAGGUGUAAAUGCAGACGAUGCGAUGGUGGCCCUACACGACUGUGAUAAUGAUGUUAAUGCCGCCAUCGACUCGUUGCUAGAAGGCGAUGAUCAGGGCAAGUGGCAAGAAUCAACUAAGAAAAAGAAAAAGCCGAUAACAAACAAGCCGACAGAGGCAGAAAAUAACAAGGAAAAUCGACGGGUUAAUUCCCGCGAGCGUAGUGGGUCUAGGCCAAGAGGUGGUGGUCCACCCAGGUUUAGAGGGCGAGGCGGCAGUGGCCGAGGUGGCCGUGACAGUGAAAGUUGGGAUGGUCCAAGUCGUGGUGAAGGGUCACGGCGUGGACGUAUGACUAAUGGAACUCCUGCGGCCAGAGGUCGAGGCGGUCGAGGCCGUGGGAGUUCUAUGGGUCCACGAACAUUCCAAAACAGGCAAGCACCUGGUUUCCCAGAUUCCAUAGACACUUGGGGGCCUCUCACAGAUGACAAGCCAAACCAUCAAAACAGUCUAAAAAUAGACAAUUGGGAUGAUGAACCUCCUUCGGGUGGGGAUGACUGGGACAGUGAAUGGACUGGAUCAUUAGAACAGACUACAGUAUUUGGUCCAUCUAGCAGUUCCAGUACAUCUACAUUGACACCAUCAUUAUCAGAGUCUCUUCCAGAAACAUUGUCAGUAGGAAGUCCAUCUGUGGGACCAGCAGUCUCUCUCGCACCUUCCCAAGUCUAUGCCUCGACUCCACCACAAAUAUACCCCCCUGCACCUGCUUCAACCUACUCUUCUGCCACAGCUACGACUUUCACCUCAACUACAGCUUCAACUUACUCUUCCACAACUGCUUCCACAGCCUCCAUUACCCAACCUCAGACUAUGGAUUUGGCUGCCUUGUUACAGAAGGCAGCCCCACAGUCCACGCUUAGUGGGUUGGUGUCGUCUACCCAACUGUGUAGUAGCAACAACACAAGUAAUGGUGGAGGUGGGGGUGGCAGGGUAGGUGGAGCUCCGCUGGUAUCCCCAGCUCCGGGACUGAGUGUUGGCAGUCAACAUGGCAUCUUAAGUGGACUUGGUGCCAAUGUAGGGGAGAGUUUAAAAGCUGGAGGACUUGUUGGAAGUGUUGGUGUGUCAGCCACUGCUCCAUCACCUGCAUCAUCAGCACCGCCACCCUACUCGACUCCCACCGCUCAACUACAAGCAGCGAUCUUCUCUAGUUCUGGUCUUCACAGUGUGGUAACAAGCAGCCUAGCCAGCAGUAUAAGCAACAACAGCAGUGUAAUAAACAAAGUUGUUAGCUUAUCAUCUGUAAGCUCCACACUGCCUUCUCGUCCAAAGACGCAUAGACCUCGGAUACCCCAGGCCUCGAAGAUACCUCUAUCUGCAGUGGAGAUGCCAGAAGAUGCUAUGGCAGCAUUAGAUGUGCAGUUCAGUGGAUUAGAAUUUGGUACCGAGACCUUUGACUUUACUACAGAUGUAAAGACAAGCCCAAGCAGUACAGGUCUUGUAAGCACUACACCUGUCAACACCCGUGACCCUUCUUCUACUCCUCCCGUCACCAAAGAUCUCACUUCUGCAUCUCUCUCGUCUUCCCUUCCACAAUCUCAAAAGCUUGGACCUGAGCCCAUUCCAUUCCCCACCUCUCAGACGAAUGAGCGUAAGCCCGCUGGAGGGGCCUUCGUGUCAGGAAACCAACGUAGCAGUGCCAGCAACAGUGCUGCACCUCAGGGUCUGUCGGACCUGACCAAGAAUGAGACUGGUGGUGGCACAGGUGGCCUUGGGAGCUUGGUGGGGUCAGCUGGUCAAACUUACCAGUCUUAUACCAGCUCCAAGUCAUCCUCAUCCUUCCCAUCCCCACCCUCUGCUCCCUACUCACAGACGCCUUCACAGAACUCGUACACAAGCAGCAGUCAGCAAGUGAGCAGCGGGACAGGUAACAGUAACAAUGGUGGUUACAGUAAUGCCAACAGUGGCACAGGAGGCACUAACAGCAAUACCAGUACCAACAGCAGCCAAACUCCAGGAGGCUAUGGAUCAAGUUUUUCUGCUCAGGCCACUGGUGCGGGCAACAGUAGUAGCCAGUACCAGAACAGCUAUGUUAAUGCCUCUAGUCAUUCGCCUCUGGUCUCCAUAUCAACCCCUAAGACACUGGCUGGGCUAUCAACUGCUCCCUCUGUUAAGGAUACCACACAGAGUUACGGAGAGCAAACGUCAACGGGGGGCUCUGCGUAUUCCAGUACUUUGUCAACCAGUGCAUCGGUUAGCAGCAACAGCACUAGUAACAGUACGGGUCCUGCAGUUCUUUCAGCUUCACUAAAUUCAGCCACUUCACAUCCUGUCCAACCCUCGAAGCCUUCAGUGCCAGGUAAAGUUAUAAGUGGCUUGGGCAGUACUGUGCCUCCUGGUGUACACCAGCACCAACCACCGCAUAUGCAUCAACAUCAACAGCCACAGCAGCAGCAUCACCAACAGGCACAGCAACACCAGCAGCAGCAACAUCAGCAGCAGCAGCAGCAACAACAACAGCAGCAGCAGCAGCAGCAACAGCAGCAACAGCAGCAGCAGCAACAGCAGCAGCAAGCGCAACAGAUGAUGGCGCAACAUUCACAAUAUGUUUCCCCACCUGCGGCAGCACUUCAGGGUGCCCUUCCACCAGCCUUUUACACAGGACUUCAACAGCCUAUGUAUUCUCUUGAAGAUUUCCAGCUGCUGCAGCAGCGGAUGCCACACAUGCAGGCUCCAACCAGCUUAGCUACUGGGCGGGAUGGGAAUAUGACAUCAACUGCUUACUCUGUUGCUGAUGCCAAGUUCCGCACAGACCAGAAUUCUUCACCAGUUCCCUCCACAAUGAAUCAGCAAGGUGCACAAGCUGGUGGUACUUACAUUACGGCGACAGGCAAUGCAGCAAUGCCACCGUUUUAUAUGUACCACAACAUGGCAGCUGUUCCGAACUCAUUUCCUCAGUAUGGUGCUCCAACUAUCAUUCAAAUUCCUCCGGUCACCAACACCCACACAGGGACAAACACGAACCAGUUUCCUGCUGCACCCAAAUUACAGUAUGGCACUGGGAACUACUAUGAUAAUAUAUCACAGACUCAGGACUUCAAGACUGGUUACGGGUCCGCGACACAGAACCAGAAUAAAGCUGGUGGAGCAACAACUGGCACAGCCACGAAUUCAGGCACUGAUCUUGGAGGCUAUAAGAACCACCUUAGUAAAAUGGGAAGGUCGUAUGACAAACAAGGUUUUCAUACGGGCACGCCUCCACCAUUUAACUUAGCUGGAUCUGGAACAAAUCCCAUGACUGCCAACGCUUACACACCCAUGUUCAUCCCAACUAUGCCUGCAGCACAGCACCACUCUCCGCUCAUGCAUCAUCAGCUCCACCAGGGCAUCAUACAGUGGUCACCAAGUCCUCUGGGUAUCAUGCCAUGAAUAUAAAUGAACAGACGUAACACAAUGCAGACUGAGAAGACGACAUCCACAGGCCUCAGAAAUGGAAAAUGACUCGAGGGUGGAUUUAACGACGAGCCUCAGAUCCGAAACGCUCAUUAACAUGGAUGGAGGCAGCUCUGGUGGUCAGCGUGCAGGAAGUACAGGUGGGCAGAACAAGGGAGGAUCAAAGCCUUCAUAUGGUGGGUCUUACUGGGGCACUAACUGAAGCUUCCCCAUCAAGAUCUUCCCUACAAUCCGAAGCAAUCGUAAUAGGGUAACCCUGCCUCAGUCCCACGCUAAUAUCAUUUGACAAGGAUGAUCCACUGUUCAGUUUGUUGGUGUUGUUCGGCCAGCAUCCAUUCCCACCUACGAUGUAGGUGCCUCAGCAUCCGGAGCAUGAAUUUGUCAAUUAGAUGUGAAAAUGCGCUCACAGAAGUCCUUGAUUUAAAUAAAAGUUUGCUUAGAUGGAUGUACAAGGGUCGAAAAGUAGGUGUACUCUUUAGUCAGUGCAAAAAAUACUAAUACAAAAGAAUUUGCUUGUCUCAGCACAUUAAUGAAUGUGAAUGAGGUAAGCUGUUCUUCACCCCUAUAGGUCAUACUUUAUGUGAACUCGUCCAAGGUGAUGUAAAAGUGGAUAUGAUAUUUAGCAUUUGUGGCAAUGGUGUAUUCAGUCUUGCUCUUCUCACUUGUAAAUAACGGAUGCCACUGAAUAAACCAUGGGCGCGCAGGUCCACUGGCAUGGUGCAUUUCUCCCGCAACCUUUCACUCCCACACCUUUUUAUAUUUACAAAAGUUUUACAAAUUGUAUGUUUGGGUGAUAGGAUUUGUCAAAGAAGACUAUAGUGAUUGUACACCACUAGAACAGAUCUUCAUGUAGGCUACAAAUGUAAGACGGCAUUCUAUUCUGGAGUUGAGGUGUUAACACAUUUCUUGAAACUCACUGAAGUUAAGGGCUUGCUGUGGAUUUGAGACCACAACUCCUUUAAAUUUGCCUUUCAGUGGUCACCCCAGAAUAGGAUGAUUGUAUGUUCAACUCACUUUAUUUUUCUUUCUUUUUUAACUUCUGUAUCUCUCUAGGUACAAUAUAAACCAAUUCCUGUUAAAGGAAUGCUGUAUCAAUGAUAUGAAAAGUAUGCCUCUUGUUUUGUAAGCUUUUUGUGUAGUGAAAUAUUUCAGUUCCACCAAUAAAAAUAUCUUGAAUCUAAAA